rnacentral:tRNA from 1 species
GACUUAAUACUUUAAAUAAAAAGAUUUGAUUUGCAUUCAAAAAAUAGAUUACUAAAUCUUUAGGUCA